CAGGAAGUAGUUUAAACAGAAUAUCAGCUUUGGGUGUUGAUGGUGGGGCGUUGAGCCUUCUUCCUGA
rnacentral:tRNA from 1 species